UCUGUAUCAAUUUCCAUUCCACGUCUGCAAACAAUCUCCAAUUAAUUUUCCAAUUUCCCUUCUCCACCUCCACUCCGUUCUCUCCCAACCCAGUGCAUUAUCCCUGAAAUCUUACAAAAUCAGCGAUCGGCAACGACCGAGCGAGUGGCGACCGACUAAGAGGAACAAACGAGACUGUGCUAUGAUAAUCAAGAUGAGGAACGAUCGACGGACGAUGAGGAGACACGAAAUCCGACUGACGGAGACCAGGCGACGAAAUGAGAGGGCGACCGACCAACAGACGACGACGAGAACAAUAUCUGCCCGAGAAUCGAACCGAAAUUGUGAUGAAUGAUAGCAUUCAAAAUGUGCCGCAGAGCCGAAAGAUUCAAACAUGGUCCUGUUAAGUGUACAAAAUUGAAUCAGACUCUCAUUUCCUCAUGGAAGAAGGGCGGUACAAUGUUCAUAUUUGAUACAGUAAUGUUUCAGUCAUUUCUUCAUUUGCUUUAUGUAGUUAUUUUUGCAUUGUUUAUCUCUCUUCACAAUUUGUAGGUACUUGAAGAUACAAGUCAAGCAUGGAACACUAGAUAUACAUGGAUUCUUAUGUUACUUGUAACAAUAUUUAAUUUUUACUGUAGAGAGAGAUUAUCAUAAUAGGAAAUUUAACUUGGGAAUAUUGAUUGUGCUUUAAAAUACUACAAUGAUGUUUACUAUAGGUGAUGUGUCUUUUCCAUUGCAUGUGUCCUAUUUUUUUUUUUUUUUUUUUGGUCUCGGUCAUGGUGAUAGUAACAACCAUUGUGAUUUUGAGGAGAACAUAAACUUUGCUGUCCAUCCAUCAUUACAAGGGGGUUCUCACAAAAAUCGCAUUGCUGCUAUUGCCAUAGCCUUGAAACAAGUGGCAACUUCAAAGGACAAAGCAUAUAUGCAGCAGGUGAAUGAAAAUGCCCUGGCCCUAGCAUCUGCUUUAUUGAGAAGAAAAUGCAAAUUGGUGACUCGGGGCACUGGCAACCAUUUGUUGAUGUGGGAUCUGACUACUUGAGGCUUAAGAGUGCUCUUGAAUUGGCUGCUGUUACUGCUUUUGUUGCCCUCCUCCCUUGUCUUUGGAGCCUUUGUGUCUGGUAGUUCUCUUUUCCCAAGUUGCCUGGAGCCCUGCUCUCUCAUUCCUCUGCUCUGGAAGUUCAGUCUGCUGCUUUCUGUCUUGCGUGCUAUGCUUGCCUGUCACCUGGUGUGCCCUAUGGUGGUUUCAUGAUCUGCACUCAUGGCUGCUCUCCUUACUAGGAGGUCUUUGUUUUCCUCUUGCUGCCUGUUUUGGCGUUUUGGCUUCCAAUUGGUCUAUGGGAUGCCUCCUGCUUUUGGGUGUUCUUUCUUCUUGGGAUGUUGGGUUUCCUGUAUUUCCCUGCUGUCUGUUUUGGUUUUGGGAUGACUGUCUGUUGCUGAUUUAUUCGGCUUGAUUUGGUCUUCUUUUUCCUUUCCUUGGGCUUGCUUUCUCUUGAUCCUAUCUUUGGCCUGCUUUUGAUGGUUUUCAAGAGAGAAUCAAGUUUGUCUUGUUGAUCGUAUUGUUCUCCUCUGUCUUUGCCACCCGUGGUUUCGGCGAGCUUUGAUUGUACAAGUCUCUUUGUCCUUUUUCUUUGUCUAUACAUACUUAACCCAAAAAAAAAAAAAAGGAAGAAAUAGGCAUUGCCAAGUAGUGCCAUUCUUGCCAGUGUUAGAUACUAGCUUGUCAAAUAAAUGUUUCUCUCUGAUAGAUGAUUCUAUUUCACGUACAUAAUAAUUGUUAGUUUGU